rnacentral:rRNA from 1 species
AGUUCCCAUGGCAAACUGCUCAGUAACACAUGAUCAACUUACCCUAUAGAGAAAAAUAACCUCGGGAAACUGAGGAUAAUGUUUCAUGGUUGAAUUGGCUUGGAAAAGUUUUUCGACGAAAGGGGUAAAAAAAAUGGUUUUUAUCUGCUAUAGGAUAGGAUCGUGUUCGAUUAUGGUUGUUGGUGAGGUAAUGGCUCACCAAGCCGAUAAUCGAUAGGGGCCGUGAGAGCGAGAGCCCCGAGAUGGGUACUGAGACAACGACCCAGGCCUUAUGAGGCGCAGCAGGCGCGAAACCUCCGCAAUACACGAAAGUGUGACGGGGUUACCCAAAGUGUUCUAUUUAGAACUGUGGUAGGUGAGUAAUGUUCCCUACUAGAAAGGAGAGGGCAAGGCUGGUGCCAGCCGCCGCGGUAAAACCAGCUCUUCAAGUGGUCGGGAUAAUUAUUGGGCUUAAAGUGUCCGUAGCCGGUUUAGUAAGUUCCUGGUAAAAUCGGGUAGCUUAACUAUCUAUAUGCUAGGAAUACUGCUAUACUAGAGGGCGGGAGAGGUCUGAGGAACUACAGGGGUAGGGGUGAAAUCUUAUAAUCCUUGUAGGACCACCAGUGGCGAAGGCGCUCAGACUGGAACGCGCCUGAC